GAAACCGGUGGGCCCUCGAAGUCCCGGUGCGAGAGGAUUCAGUCGGGCUUGGGCGACGGGCGUCGCGUCGUUCCUUCCAGGCUGCCCGGCUUGCCGGACUGCAGCCCCGUCGGAGCGCGCGGAACCGUUUCGUUCGCUUCCGACGCAUUUCCUGCUCGCCCGAACGGACGCCGCAGCCGGUCGGGUACGUAGUCAAGUCGUCCUUAAGGGCGGAAGGAGGGAGUUCACCGGGGAGGCACAUCACCUCGCCGGGCGUUGCCCUCGCCGCACCCGGAGCGACACCCGACCGUGGUUAGAAGCGAGACUCCAUGCUCGCGCCUCGUCCCCAAAGUGGAGCGACCGCCAGAAAGAAUCGUUAAGAGAGAGAUCACGCGGGUGCGGCCCGACUGUCCGAUCGCCUUUCGGGGCGGCGGGCUCGUCGGCGAGUCGCACUUAGACGCGCGACGGCGGGCGCGGGGACACGGAGGCUUGCGGUGACGAAGUCGGUCACCCACCGGGCCCGUCUUGAAACACGGACCAAGGAGUGCGACGCGCGCGCGAGUCUGAGGGUCUCGAAGAAGCCCCGAGGCGAAGCGAAAGCAACGGUCGGGAUCCCUUGCACUGAGUUGUAGGGGCGCACCGACGGCCCGCCGAUGCGGAGACGUCUUGCCCACCUUGGGUGUCGUCUGCGCGGCGGAGUCCAGAGCGCGCGUGUUGCGACCCGAAAGGCAGUGACCUAUGCUCGCUCGGAGCGAAGUCAGGGGAAACCCUGGUGGAAGCGCUGAGGGCUUCUGACGUGCAAAUCGAUUCCGAGAAGGAGGUAUAGU
rnacentral:rRNA from 1 species